AUUCAGCUGCACUGUCGUGGUGGCUUGCAACUACUGCGCUGUGCGGAUUGUUGUGAUUUAGCAGUUUGCGUUACCACCUCAAAUUUCUGUAAAAUACAAAGGAGACCAGCUUCCUGCUUGAAGCCAACCUGCACUUCGGCUUCAACAACUUGUUUGAAUGAAGGAAUCAUGUCUUUGGGAGGUUGCCUUCAAUAUAAUGAACGCCAUUAUGGGCCAUGCAGUUCAACUGCCGUACAGCCUGCAUGGGAAGAAAAGCAAGAGACUGUUUAACAUGCGGCUAUGCAGAGUGGGAACAGAUGGUGCCUGAGAGACGCAGAGAUCGACAUUAAUCAAGCGCAGUACUUCAUAAGAUUGUGGCUGCUAGGUGCCGUCGACUGUGCUAAUAGCAGAAGGCGGCGUUACGCCGAAGCGGCUCAACCCGUUCAGCAUCUUCCAAGUGCCCCUUUUGCGAGCCCAGCUUCAACCCCCCCCAUAGCGUCAUAAACAAAGCUUUCGUAGGUGGCCCACAGGAUUGGGGAUACGAGCGACAAUCUGUAUCAACGUAUUUUAAGACCAAUAAAGAAAUUAUGUAACAUUAUUUGGUGA